rnacentral:rRNA from 1 species
UACGAAGGGUGCAAGCGUUAAUCGGAAUUACUGGGCGUAAAGGGUGCGUAGGCGGUUGUUUAAGUCUGUCGUGAAAUCCCCGGGCUCAACCUGGGAAUGGCGAUGGAUACUGGACAGCUAGAGUGUGUCAGAGGAUGGUGGAAUUCCCGGUGUAACGGUGAAAUGCGUAGAGAUCGGGAGGAACAUCAGUGGCGAAGGCGGCCAUCUGGGACAACACUGACGCUGAAGUACGAAAGCGUGGGGAGCAAACGGG